rnacentral:lncRNA from 1 species
GGAAAGAGAACUUAUGGUUGUGUUAGUAAUAAAUCCAAAUUGCUCUUUGCUCUGUUAGAUUGAUCUAAGUCUUGUAAUUCUUGUUUGAAUUGAAGUGGAUGGUGUAAUAAAUGCUUGCGUUAGUGAUGGUUGGUGAAAGUCGAUGGUUGUUAGAUAUAUGUCAAGUCCUUCUUCUCUUAACUGUGAUGAAUUGUCUCAGCUGUGAUGAAUGUGUUUAGGUAUAUGUCAAAUCCUCUUCCCUCUAUUAAACGCAAAGCUCCUUCUAUUCUUUAUCAUAAACACCUUCUCUCUGAUCUUCUCUUCC